rnacentral:rRNA from 1 species
CCUACGGGUGGCAGCAGUGAGGAAUAUUGGUCAAUGGGCGCGAGCCUGAAUCAGCCAAGUCGCGUGAGGGAGGACGGCCCUACGGGUUGUAAACCUCUUUUGCCGGGGAGCAACGGGCGCCACGUGUGGCGUCACUGAGAGUACCCGGAGAAAAAGCAUCGGCUAACUCCGUGCCAGCAGCCGCGGUAAUACGGAGGAUGCGAGCGUUAUCCGGCUUUAUUGGGUUAAAGGGGUGCGUAGGCGGAGCGUUAAGUCAGUGGUCAAAUUGAGGGGCUCAACCCCUUCCCGCCAUUGAAACUGGCGGGCUUGAGUGGAAGAGAAGUAUGCGGAAUGCGUGGUGUAGCGGUGAAAUGCAUAGAUAUCACGCAGAACCCCGAUUGCGAAGGCAGCAUGCCGGCUUCCGACUGACGCUGAAGCACGAAAGCGUGGGGAUCGAACAGGAUUAGAUACCCGAGUAGUC